GGAGAGAUACCCAAGAGGCUGAAGGGCAGGAUUGCUAUCCUGUAGGGGGCCUCAAAGCCCCGCGAGGGUUCGAAUCCCUCUCUCUCCGCCA
rnacentral:tRNA from 1 species